rnacentral:SRP_RNA from 1 species
GCUGGGCAUGGUGGUGUAUGCCUGUAAUCCCAGCUACUAGGGAGGCUGAGGCAGAAGAAUUGCUUGAACCCGGGAGACAGACGCUGCAGUGAGCCGAGAUCGUGCCACUGCACUCCAGCCUGGGCAACAGAGCAAGACUCUGUCUCAA